GGAGUAGUAGCUCAGUGGUAGGGCUCUCGCUUCGUGUGCGAAAAUACCUGGGUUAGAUUCCCGGCUGCUUCC
rnacentral:tRNA from 1 species